UAAUAUGAGAUAUCUCAUGGAUACUCCCUGGACUUAAGCAUAUCAUUAAGGGAAGGAAAAGAAACUAACUAGGAUUCCGUUAGUAGUGGCGAAUGAACACGGAAGAGCUCCAAUGGUAAAGCCUAAGUGCUGUUGUAAUGUAGCCUCCGAAAACAUUCUGGAAAGGAUGACCACAGUGGGUGAUAGUCCCAGAGGAGGAUGUAAAGAAUAGAGUAGUGCUGCUUGGUAGUGCAGUAUGAAGAGGAGGUAGAAACUUCUAAAGCUAAAUACAGACGGAUACCGAUAGAGAAGAAGUAGUGCGAACGAAAGUUGAAAAGAUCUCAUCUAGAGAAUGAAAAGUGAAAGUAUUAGGGCGUAAGCUGAUGACAUCAGACCCGUAUUGAAACACGGACCAAGGAGACUUUGAGUAUAGCGAGGCGAAGGAUGUGAAGUCCCCACCCGCGAGAAAUCUACAAGUUAUACUGAUAGGACCCGAAAGGCAGUGAACUAUACCUGCUCUGCUUGACGCCACGGCAAACCGUGGUUGAGGAGCUAAGUCGUAUUGAUGUUCAACUCAUUGACAGGAAGUGGGUAUAGGGGCGAAAGACCAAUCGAACUGCCUGGUAGCUGGUUCCGGCCGAAAUGUCUCUCAGGACAGCGGUGUCUGCGAAUAGGAAGAUGCGGUAGAGAGGAUGUCGACCUUGUCAACAAACUCCGAAUGCGUCAUUGUGUUGCGAUUGCAUCCAACAUGAUCAUCUAUAAGACACUAGUGGGCGCCUUGUGGUAAGCAUGCGGCGCAAAAAGGGAUGAACCUAGCAGUGGGGUAAGGUGCCUAAAGGAAAACAAAGAGAAAAAGCGUUUGGCAGAUUAGGACAGUGGGGCGGUGGCCAUGGAGGUCGGCAUCCGCUAAGAAACGUGUUACAACGUACCCACCGAAUCUGCGAAUGCUGAAAAUGGAUUGCCGCCAUUUUACAUAACGAAACCCCAAGUGGAUAAAUCAACGUUAAUCGGCAAGUUUGACAUCUUAGAAAAACCCUCCGAGAAGUGUGUAGCAAUAUUUUAAAGGAACAAAUUCUUGAUAUACUAACCUCUAUUAUUUGUUCACAAGUGGAGACGGUUUUUCUCUUUUGAAAAUGGGAAGAUAUAAAAUCCAAUAAUACGGGCAAAUUU
rnacentral:ncRNA from 1 species